rnacentral:rRNA from 1 species
UACAGAGGGGGCAAGCGUUGUUCGGAAUUACUGGGCGUAAAGUGUGCGCAGGUGGCCGCGCAAGUCGAGUGUGAAAGCCCCGAGCUUAACUUGGGAAUUGCGCUCGAAACUACGGUGCUGGAGUGUGGCAGAGGAAGGUGGAAUUCCACGUGUAGCGGUGAAAUGCGUAGAGAUGUGGAGGAACACCGAUGGCGAAGGCAGCCUUCUGGGCCAACACUGACGCUCAUGCACGAAAGCGUGGGGAGCAAACAGG